rnacentral:siRNA from 1 species
UGACCCUUGGAUACCUGCUCA